AGAGUUUGAUCCUGGCUCAGGAUGAACGCUGGCGGCGUGCCUAAUGCAUGCAAGUCGAGCGACGCAUACCGGAGGGGUAACCCACUGGUAUGACGGAGCGGCGAACGGGUGAGUAACACGUGAGCAACCUGCCCCACAGACCGGGAUAGCCCAGGGAAACCUGGAUUAAUACCGGAUACCCUCGGACAACCACCUGGUUGACCGAGGAAAUGCCUUUGUGCUGUGGGAUGGGCUCGCGGCUUAUCAGCUAGUUGGUGGGGUAACGGCCUACCAAGGCAUCGACGAGUAGCUGGUCUGAGAGGACGAGCAGCCACACUGGAACUGAGACACGGUCCAGACUCCUACGGGAGGCAGCAGCAGGGAAUCUUGCGCAAUGGGCGAAAGCCUGACGCAGCAACGCCGCGUGGGGGAUGAAGGCCUUCGGGUUGUAAACCCCUUUCAGGAGGGAAGAAAUAGACGGUACCUCCAAAAGAAGGACCGGCCAACUACGUGCCAGCAGCCGCGGUAAUACGUAGGGUCCGAGCGUUAUCCGGAAUCAUUGGGCGUAAAGAGCUCGUAGGCGGUUCAGCAAGUCGGCUGUGAAAGUCUGAGGCUCAACCUCAGAAUAGCAGUCGAUACUGCUGUGACUCGAGUCCGGUAGAGGAGAAUGGAAUUCUCGGUGUAGCGGUGAAAUGCGCAGAUAUCGAGAGGAACACCAGUA
rnacentral:rRNA from 1 species